AUAUCCUGUUUAAUAUUUAAUCUGUUCUGUCUUAGUCUCAAGCUUUUCUAUUUAGAACUUUUGUAAAUAGAAUUUUUGUUUGUUUAGCUUAUGAUUUCACACAAGGGUACAUUCCAUAAAAGGAUAAGUCACUUUGAAAUCAUUGGUUAUACCAAAAACCAACAAGGGUACGCAAAAUUAGUUUUAGCAUAUUUCCAUAUUAUUACUGUAUUUUUCUCUGCGUUAGAUAUUAGCAAGAACUCAACAGCUCCGGCUUCUUCAGUCAAGACUCCUCCAGUUCAGACUCCCUCUGUCAAGAACACAAAAGAAUCUGAUGUAGCUUAAAUCGACGGUCGAAAUCUGAUGUAGCUUAAAUCGACGGUCGAAAUCGUUACUUCAUUCGCCGGUUGAAUCGCGCCGUAGAAGAAAUUGCGUUGUAACUGGAGGUUGGUAAUCGGGAAGGCGAAGAUCUGACCGGGGAUUGCGCCGGUAAACCGGUUUAAGCUGAGAUCGAGGUAAUUGAGCUGAUUUAAUCUGAGUAAAACCCGGUCUACUCGUCCGGUUAACUGGUUCCAAGCGAGCGAGAGGUAUUGCAUCGACGGGGGAAGAGACGUCGGAGAAUAACGCCGGUGAGAUUGUUCCGUUUGAGAUCGAUUCGGGUUAACGUUUGCGAGAGGAACUGAGGAAUCGAUCCGUUCAAGUGGUUAUGACACAGAAUCAGAUUGGAUAGCUCCGGUAAGGAUCCGAUUGACGGAGGAAUCGACCCGGUUAGCUGAUUAUAGCUCAGAUCGAGUGUUUUGAGUCCCGUAAGCUCGGAUAACAAGCACAGCCAAAUACUCUGAGAGCAGUGUAGUUAGGAGCUCGACCUGUCAAGACUACAUAAGGACUCUGAUUCUUGUUCAACGCAGAGCUAACCCAUUUUACUGUGGUGUGUGUGGACAUGAUAUGAGAUGUUGGAUUCCAUUUGCAUGCAAAUGAGCUAUAAACUGCUUGCUAGUGAACUCACCCCACCAUCACACUGAAAGGUACCAAUCUUGCAUUGAUAUAAAUUUUCCACAAGCGCUUGAAAACCAUAGAAUGUUUGUAGAAAAUCUGACUUGAGCUUGAGAGGGUAGAGCGAGCAUAAUCUUGAGUAGUUAUCAAUAAAGAUCACAUAAUAUUUGAAGCCUUGAACUGACAUUAUUGGUGAAGGACCCCAUAGAUCACAAUAUAUUCUUUUCAGGGGUCUAGUUGAUACAAAAGUUGAAGCAGAAAAAGAUAAUUGCUGGAGAACUUGCAUAUGUGGAUGCCCCAAUCUCUUAUGCCAAGUAUCGCCAGUAACUGGUUGCUGUCUUGACGAGAAAUUAACUUGAAGUGAAGCUCCACCACAUAACAAGGAUUUAGCAAUACCAGAACAGACAAGUACAUCGUUAAGAGGUAGAUUACCAGAGGUUGAAGGGAGACUUGCUGAUCCAGUAUGAGUGAUUGAUGAUGAGAAGAGCUGGUCACAUGAGAGCUCGCACCUGUAUCAGACACCCAUUCACUUCCGUUUUGAUCAGUAACAUCUGUUAUCCGAAGAACAGCUAACGCUUGAGGGGUUAGGAUUAGGAAAGUUAACAUUACUUAGCAAUAUGUUAAUGUUAAUUACUAUAUAUACAUAUGUGAGCAUCUUGUAUCAAACUCAUUAUUAUAGAGCAACUCAAAUUAUAUUCUAUUCUACAAUAUUCACUGCCACAAGCCAAACAACAAGGUUUGUUUUCAUCUCA